rnacentral:rRNA from 1 species
AACCUCCGCAAUGUGAGAAAUCGCGACGGGGGGAUCCCAAGUGCCAUUCUUAACGGGAUGGCUUUUCAUUAGUGUAAAGAGCUUUUGGAAUAAGAGCUGGGCAAGACCGGUGCCAGCCGCCGCGGUAACACCGGCAGCUCUAGUGGUAGCAAUUUUUAUUGGGCCUAAAGCGUCCGUAGCCGGUUUAAUAAGUCUCUGGUGAAAUCCUGUAGCUUAACUGUGGGAAUUGCUGGAGAUACUAUUAGACUUGAGACCGGGAGAGGUUAGAGGUACUCCCAGGGUAGAGGUGAAAUUCUGUAAUCCUGGGAGGACCGCCUGUUGCGAAGGCGUCUAACUGGAACGGUUCUGACGGUGAGGGACGAAAGUUAGGGGCGCGAACCGGAUUAGAUACCCGGGUAGUCCUAACUGUAAACGAUGCGGACUUGGUGUUGGGGUGGCUUUGAGCUGCUCCAGUGCCGAAGGGAAGCUGUUAGUCCGCCGCCGUGGGAGUACGGUCGCAAGACUGAAACUUAAAGGAAGU